rnacentral:rRNA from 1 species
UACAGAGGUGGCAAGCGUUGUUCGGAAUUACUGGGCGUAAAGCGUGCGCAGGCGGUUUGUAAGCCAGAUGUGAAAUCCCCGGGCUUAACCUGGGAAUGGCAUUUGGGACUGCAAGGCUAGAGUACGGAAGAGGCGAGUGGAAUUCCUGGGUGUAGCGGUGGAAUGCGCAGAUAUCAGGAGGAACACCAAGUAGCGAAGGCAGCUCGCUGGGACGUUACUGACACUGAGGCGCGA